UACGUAGGGGGCUAGCGUUGUCCGGAAUCAUUGGGCGUAAAGCGCGUGUAGGCGGCCCGGUAAGUCCGCUGUAAAAGUCGGGGGCUCAACCCUCGAAAGCCGGUGGAUACUGUCGGGCUAGAGUACGGAAGAGGCGAGUGGAAUUCCUGGUGUAGCGGUGAAAUGCGUAGAUAUCGGAAGGAACGCCGGUGGCGAAAGCGACGCGCUGGACCUCUUCUGACGCUGAGGCGCGAAAGCCAGGGGAGCAAACGGG
rnacentral:rRNA from 1 species